rnacentral:rRNA from 1 species
CUAUUGGAGCGGCCGAUAUCGGAUUAGCUAGUUGGUGGGGUAACGGCUCACCAAGGCGACGAUCCGUAGCUGGUUUGAGAGGACGACCAGCCACACUGGGACUGAGACACGGCCCAGACUCCUACGGGAGGCA